rnacentral:rRNA from 1 species
CACAAGCGGUGGAGUAUGUGGCUUAAUUCGAUGCAACGCGAAGAACCUUACCUGGUCUUGACAUCCCGGAGACCCUUAGGAAACUAGGGGGUGCUUCCAUCUGGAAGAAUCUGGAGACAGGUGCUGCAUGGCUGUCGUCAGCUCGUGUCGUGAGAUGUUGGGUUAAGUCCCGCAACGAGCGCAACCCUUGCCUUUAGUUGCCAGCAGUUCGGCUGGGCACUCUAAAGGGACUGCCGGUGUUAAACCGGAGGAAGGUGGGGAUGACGUCAAGUCCUCAUGGCCUUUAUGACCAGGGCUACACACGUACUACAAUGGCCGAUACAAAGGGCAGCGACACUGCGAGGUGAAGCCAAUCCCGUAAAAUCGGUCUCAGUCCGGAUUGGAGUCUGCAACUCGACUCCAUGAAGUUGGAAUCGCUAGUAAUCGUGGAUCAGCUACGUUGCGGUGAAUACGUUCCCGGGCCUU